UCACAGGUGACGGGGUGCUGGAUGGUGGGGACUUCUUCCAGGGGGUUGGCUGCAGAUUGGUGUUCUUCAUUUGUAAAGUAACUCACUUUGAAAAAUCACCUUCCUACAGCACACCACUUGCUGUCUUGACCAGCUCCAGCUCCGUGGAGGUUGUCACGGUGGCAAAGGCGAAGAAUAGUGGACAACAUAUGCACAGGGUCUCCUGUAGCAGUCGUGUUGUUCCCGACGUUUCCCUCGCUCUUCAGCCUGGCUGCAGUUUCAGAAGCGCUGCGGCUGCAGAAAAGCCAGGAUGUCAAGAGGCUUCCUUCUCGUUAGGUGGUUCUGCCUGCAAAAGUUAAAAGCUUGUGUAUUUUGAGGCAGAAGUGGUGCCGUUGAAAGCCUUGACCACAGUGACUGCAUCAGAAAGAAGAGGCUUUUUUAAAAGGAAUCUAACCUGGCUUCUUAAUGGUGUUCAUCCCUGUGCAAGGUUUCCAGAGCUGCUGCAACUAUGAAAUAAUGCUCUGUAGCCAUGAUUCAAUAGAUUACUCUUCCUGAGGGCAGAUCUGAAGGAAGGAAAAAAAAAAAAUAA